AAAAAAUCGCUCUUGAUAUUUCGCUACCGUUCUUGUUGGGAACGGUAGCGGAAAAGAUAUUAAAAAAAUUUUAAAAAGAUAUUAAUAAUACAGAUUAUUAAUUAUUAAAAAAAAAUAGAACAAAAAGAUCAAUCUCUGCCCGCAUUUCCUCGCCAUUUCCUCACCACACCACCAUCCACCUUCUCCGCCUUCCACCGUCGCAGCCGCUGCCGCCGCCAUUGCAUCCUCCGCGACUGCGCCUCCCCCUAGCUGUCGUCCCAGCCACUGCCUCCGCCGCUGCGUCUUCCUCCGCAAAUCUGCCGCUGCAGCCACCACAGCCGCUGACAUCGCGACCGCCACAACCUUCAGUUUUUGACGCCACCGUUUCGAUCUGCACCACCUCGACCAACGCCACCUCCGCCGCGACCAACGCCGCCUCCACCGUGAUGGCCCCGAAGAUAUAGAUCUGGAACCGACAUUACUUUGUGACAGCAGGGAAGUCUUGGUUUGUAGGUGGAUUUGAGGAGUUAACAACCGCUGAUAAUAAGCCAUAUAUAUGGAUUUAAAAGUUUUAAACAGACUUUGGAAAUGCCAAAACUGUUAGGAACAACAACUCAAGGAAAGAGAGAAAUAUAAGCUAGGAAAUCCCAAGUCAUUCCAUUAUCUUAAUCAACCCAACUGUUAUGAGCUUGAUGGAGUGAAUGAUGGCGAAGAAUAACUUGCAACAAGAAGGGCUAUGGAUAUAGUUGGAAUUAGCGAGGAAGGACAGGUUAGGAGGCAAUUUUCAGGGUUGUUGCUGCAAUUCUUCAUCUUGGUAAUAUUGAAUUUGCAAAAGGGCAAGAGAUUGACUCCUCUGUGAUUAAGGAUGAAAAAUCUAGGUUUCAUCUUAAUACCACAGCUGAUUUGCUCAAGUGUGAUGCCAAGAACCUGGAAGGAUGCACUAAUUAAGCGUAUGAUGGUCACACCUGAGGAAGUUAUUACAAGGACUCUUGAUCCUCUACAACAGCAUUUUAAUCAGCAUGUAUUUAAAAUGGAACAAGAAGAGUAUGAAAAAGAAGAGAUAAACUGGAGCUACAUAGAGUUUGUUGAUAACCAAGAUGUGCUGGAUCUCAUUGAGAAGGUUUGGAACCAAGCUUGAUAUACUUUCAUCAAAAAUAGUUAUUAGAAGUAGUGUGUCUCUUGACAAAAUUUACUAGCUUUUUAAAUUAUCUUUUUAAUGCUUUGUUACCUGUUUAAUCUAGCCACUAUAGAAAUCAUAAUUUAUGUUCAAACUUUUCUUAUAUGUUUCAAUUAUCAGCAAUGUUGGCUUGCAAACUGUAUGAGCAAUUGAGACGUGAAGCAGCUGCUGAUUUAUGUUUAAUUUCAGUUGACAA